AGAGUGGAUGGCAGCCAAGGAUGACUUGCCGGAGUCGCCGUUCUUUUCUUCCCCCCCCCUCCGGCGAUUUGAAAAAAAAAAAUUCCCUCCGGCGGGUUGUCCUUGGCUACUAUUUGCUCUCA
rnacentral:pre_miRNA from 1 species